rnacentral:tRNA from 1 species
GCCCUGGUGGCAUAGUGGUUAAAGCACUCAGCUCCUAACUGAAAAGUUGUUGGUUCAAACCUAUCAGCGGCU